UUGACCUCGGAUCAGGUAGGAAUACCCGCUGAACUUAAGCAUAUCAAUAAAGCGGAGGAAGGGAUCAUGUCCGAGCUU
rnacentral:rRNA from 1 species